rnacentral:piRNA from 1 species
UGAUGUCAGCUUCUGUUAGCAGCCU